rnacentral:rRNA from 1 species
CCUACGGGGGGCAGCAGUGGGGAAUAUUGGACAAUGGGGGGAACCCUGAUCCAGCCAUGCCGCGUGUGUGAAGAAGGCCCUCGGGUUGUAAAGCACUUUCAGUGAGGAAGAACGCCUGGUGGUUAAUACCCAUCAGGAAAGACAUUACUCACAGAAGAAGCACCGGCUAACUCCGUGCCAGCAGCCGCGGUAAUACGGAGGGUGCGAGCGUUAAUCGGAAUUACUGGGCGUAAAGCGCGCGUAGGUGGCUUGAUAAGCCGGUUGUGAAAGCCCCGGGCUCAACCUGGGAACGGCAUCCGGAACUGUCAAGCUAGAGUGCAGGAGAGGAAGGUAGAAUUCCCGGUGUAGCGGUGAAAUGCGUAGAGAUCGGGAGGAAUACCAGUGGCGAAGGCGGCCUUCUGGACUGACACUGACACUGAGGUGCGAAAGCGUGGGUAGCAAACAGGAUUAGAUACCCUAGUAGUC